CCGAGUUUACAACUCCCAAACCCAAUGUGAACGUUACCAAACUGUUGCCUCGGCGGGAUCUCUGCCCCGGGUGCGUCGCAGCCCCGGACCAAGGCGCCCGCCGGAGGACCAACCUAAAACUCUUAUUGUAUACCCCCUCGCGGGUUUUUUUAUAAUCUGAGCCUUCUCGGCGCCUCUCGUAGGCGUUUCGAAAAUGAAUCAAAACUUUCAACAACGGAUCUCUUGGUUCUGGCAUCGAUGAAGAACGCAGCGAAAUGCGAUAAGUAAUGUGAAUUGCAGAAUUCAGUGAAUCAUCGAAUCUUUGAACGCACAUUGCGCCCGCCAGUAUUCUGGCGGGCAUGCCUGUCCGAGCGUCAUUUCAACCCUCGAACCCCUCCGGGGGGUCGGCGUUGGGGAUCGGCCCUCCCUUAGCGGGUGGCCGUCUCCGAAAUACAGUGGCGGUCUCGCCGCAGCCUCUCCUGCGCAGUAGUUUGCACACUCGCAUCGGGAGCGCGGCGCGUCCACAGCCGUUAAACACCCAACUUCUGAAAUGUUGACCUCGGAUCAGGUAGGAAUACCCGCUGAACUUAAGCAUAUCAAAA
rnacentral:rRNA from 1 species